UACGUAGGCAGCAAGCGUUGUUCGGAGUUACUGGGCGUAAAGGGUGUGUAGGCGGCCUUCUAAGUUUGGUGUGAAAUCUCCCGGCUCAACCGGGGAAUUGCGCUCGAUACUGGCGGGCUAGAGGUCGAUGAGGGUGAGCAGACUCAGGUGGAGCGGUGAAAUGCGUAGAUAUCUGGAGGAACACCGGUGGCGAAAGCGGCUCACUGGAUCGAGUCUGACACUGAGGUGCGAAAGCUAGGGUAGCAAACGGG
rnacentral:rRNA from 1 species